rnacentral:rRNA from 1 species
UACGGGGGGGGCAAGCGUUGUUCGGAAUUACUGGGCGUAAAGGGCUCGUAGGCGGCCAAUUAAGUCCGACGUGAAAUCCCAAGGCUUAACCUUGGAACUGCGUCGGAUACUGGAUGGCUUGAAUUCGGGAGAGGGAUGCAGAAUUCCAGGUGUAGAGGUGAAAUGCGUAGAUAUCUGGAGGAAUACCGGUGGCGAAGGCGGCAUCCUGGACCGACAUUGACGCUGAUGAGCGAAAGCUAGGGGAGCAAACGGG